UGAGAUCGCGAUUACAGCUGAU
rnacentral:miRNA from 2 species